rnacentral:lncRNA from 1 species
GACUGUUGAGACCCUGUUACUCCGUUUUGGAAAGAGCAUCCUGAGGCUGGAACCAUGUACCUGCCUAGCCCGGGUUAACAUCAUUCACAAGACAGACCUUGAGGUCAUCUGUGUGGACUGUAUGUUAUCUGCAUACACUAAAAACACUUUCUUCUCUGAGCAAAAGCAAUAGUUAGGUUUUGGUCUCUAGGCCCUGUAUCUAGAGGGAUCCCAUCUCCUGGAAGGAAGGAAGUACCAGCCAAAUCGUUGAAGAAAGAAAGAAAAAGGAAGAACCAAAUUGUGGAUGGCUCCUGUGUGUGGCUGCAUGAUACAUCUCAGUGGACAUGGGCCCGCCUUUAAGACACAAGGCUCACAGUAAACUAAGAUUUGGGCAGCUAUUCCUUCUAAACCAUGUAUAAAGAAACUCCUGAGAAGUUGAGUCUAUACCACUCACCGAGACUGUUUCCAAUCUACGUACGGAAUCAUUUAACAAAGUAUAUAAAGUUUAUGUCCACCUAGACUUUAUGUUCUUCAGUCCAUGACCGUGAGGGGCCAUAACAAUAAAAUCCCUUCUUGAGUG